rnacentral:rRNA from 1 species
UCCCGCCGGACCUGACUGCUAUCGGAUUGAUACUAAGCCAUGCGAGUCUUUGUAGUAAUACAAGGCAGACGGCUCAGUAACACGUAGUCAACCUACCCUAUGGACGAGAAUAAUCUCGGGAAACUGAGCAUAAUUCUCGAUAGAUCAUAAUGCCUGGAAUGGUUUAUGGUUAAAAUGAUUCGUCGCCAUAGGAUGGGACUGCGGCCUAUCAGCUUGUUGGUGAGGUAAUGGCCCACCAAGGCGAUUACAGGUACGGGCUCUGAGAGGAGAAGCCCGGAGAUGGGUACUGAGACACGGACCCAGGCCCUAUGGGGCGCAGCAGGCGAGAAAACUUUGCAAUGUGCGAAAGCACGACAAGGUUAAUCCGAGUGAUUUCUGCUAAAGAAAUCUUUUGCCAGUCAUAAAACCACUGGUGAAUAAGGGGUGGGCAAGUUCUGGUGUCAGCCGCCGCGGUAAAACCAGCACCUCAAGUGGUCAGGAUGAUUAUUGGGCCUAAAGCAUCCGUAGCCGGCUUUGUAAGUUUUCGGUUAAAUCCAUGUGCUCAACGCAUGGGCUGCCGAAAAUACUGCAUAGCUAGGGAGUGGGAGAGGUAGACGGUACUCAGUAGGAAGGGGUAAAAUCCUUUGAUCUAUUGAUGACCACCUGUGGCGAAGGCGGUCUACCAGAACACGUUCGACGGUGAGGGAUGAAAGCUGGGGGAGCAAACCGGAUUAGAUACCCGGGUAGUCCCAGCUGUAAACGAUGCAGACUCGAUGAUGCAUUGGCAUAAUAGCCAGUGCAGUGUCGCAGGGAAGCCGUUAAGUCUGCCGCCUGGGAAGUACGUACGCAAGUAUGAAACUUAAAGGAUUGGCGGGG